rnacentral:rRNA from 1 species
GUGGCCAUAGAAAGGUAUGCUAACACCAUACCUGAUCUACAUUCGGUUAUCACCGCUACUGUACAUCCUUGCGGUGUACAGACUAGUGUUGAGCCGUUUUAGUCAGCUAUGGCCACACACACACUGGACAAGAAUCUCUGCGUAUGCAGGGUCAACACAAUGCCCGGCAAGGUGCUCACGGUAUACCCGAGUAGUGUAUUCGUCAUUGAAUGCUGUUUUUGUACUCAGUGCAAGAACGAUUCAUGGUUACGCUGCUCUUUGGUGGUAUGCCAGUACAUCUUGUUGUGGUUAACAUUGGACUGUUGAUAUGAUUCGGAGGCAAGUAGAUCGGUACUCUAUCCGACCCGUCUUGAAACACGGACCAAGGAGUCUAACAUGUAUGCAAGCCGAACAGUCUUGUAUAGGCUCGGUAGGCGAAUUGAAAGAAAUAUUUAUGGGUAUGAUGCGUUCUCUAUCAUUUCAUUGGACUCGAAAGUGUACCCAAUGUUGAUACGCCGCAAUACCGGCCCGUGGAUUAUCCUCUUUACCGAGAUAACCGCGGAGCUCUAGUAUAUAUGUUAGUACCCGAAAGAUGGUGAACUAUGCCCGGGCAAGAUGAAGCCAGAGGAAACUCUGGUGGAGGUCUGUAGCGAUUCUGACGUGCAAAUCGAUCGUCAGAUCCGGGUAUAGGGGCGAAA